rnacentral:rRNA from 1 species
AGUGAACGUUGGCGGCGUGGAUUAGGCAUGCAAGUCGAGCGAGAACCGUAGCAAUACGGGGACAGCGGCGAACGGGACAGUAAUGUGUAGGUACCUACCCCUGGGUCCGGGAUAGCUGCGGGAAACUGCAGGUAAUACCGGAUAAUGUCUUCGGACCAAAGGUGUGAUUCCACCUUGGGAGGGGCCUGCAUCCUAUUAGCUUGUUGGCGGGGUAACGGCCCACCAAGGCAACGAUGGGUAGCGGGUGUGAGAGCACGACCCGCGUCAUUGGGACUGAGGCACUUCCCAUACACCUACGGGGGGCUGCAGUCGAGGAUCUUCGGCAAUGGGCGAAAGCCUGACCGAGCGACGCCGCGUGCGGGAUGAAGUCCUUCGGGUUGUAAACCGCUGUCGUAGAGGAGGAAAUGCAGGAGGGUUCUCCCUUCUGUUUGACCGAUUCUAGGAGGAAGGACGGGCUAAGUUCGUGCCAGCCGCCGCGGUAA